rnacentral:rRNA from 1 species
AUUGAACGCUGGCGGCAUGCCUUACACAUGCAAGUCGAACGGCAGCACGGGAGCAAUCCUGGUGGCGAGUGGCGAACGGGUGAGUAAUAUAUCGGAACGUGCCCAGUCGUGGGGAUAACGUAGCGAAAGCUACGCUAAUACCGCAUACGAUCUAUGGAUGAAAGCGGGGGAUCGCAAGACCUCGCGCGAUUGGGGCGGCCGAUAUCAGAUUAGGUAGUUGGUGAGGUAAAGGGCUCACCAAGCCGACGAUCUGUAGCUGGUCUGAGAGGACGACCAGCCACACUGGGACUGAGACACGGCCCAGACUCCUACGGGAGGCAGCAGUGGGGAAUUUUGGACAAUGGGCGCAAGCCUGAUCCAGCAAUGCCGCGUGCAGGAUGAAGGCC